rnacentral:lncRNA from 1 species
CUUUCGUCAACCCAUUUUUGGGGUCAUAAUUUCUUCUCCCUUAACCCUUUUUUGGGGUCUUCUUCAACCUUUUUGGGGUCUUCUUUUUGGGGUCUUCCUCACCCUUUUUGGGGUCUCCUUUUUGGGGUCUUCAACUCAACCUUUUUUGGGGUCUCGUUUCUCAACCUUUUUUUGGGGUCUUCUUCACCCUUUUCGGGGUCUCCUUUUUAGGCUCUCCUUCCUCACCCUAUUUGGGGUCCCCAACCCUUUUUGGGGUCUCCUUUUUGGGGUCUCCAACCCUUUUUUUGGGGUCUCUAACCCUUUUUGGGGUGUCGUUUUUGGGGUCUUCACGUCUCCUUCCUCAACUCUUUUUGGGGUCUUCUUCACCCUUUUUGGGCUCUCCUUUUUGGGGUCUCCAACCCUUUUUGGGGUCUUCAACUCAACCUUUUUUGGGGUCUCCUUUCUCAACCUUUUUUUGGGGUCUUCUUCACCCUUUGUGGGGUCUCCUUUUUAGGCUCUCCUUCCUCACCCUUUUUGGGGUCUCCAACCCUUUUUUUGGGGUCUCCAACCCUUUUUUUUGGGGUCCCCCCCCCAGGCCGCACCAUGUACAUCAUCCCCUUCAGCAUGGGCCCCCCCUCGUCGCCGCUGGCCAAGGCGGGCGUGCAGCUGACCGA